AAUUUCAGGAUCACUGGAUGUGUUUCUGAUUUAAUGUGGUUUUUCUCAUUUGAAUGUCUAAUUGUUGACACCAUUGUGUGCCUUUGCCUUAGCAUGACCAUUAGAUGGAUUUGCCUUAGGAUUUGAGUUUGGUCCUUUUUAGGACAUGUUCUUACUUGAAUAAAGGUGCCUCAUGUUGAAUAUUGGUUGCUGUUUUGACUUUUUGCUUUACCUUUGACCCUAGUCUCGGUACUAGUGGUUCG
rnacentral:lncRNA from 1 species